AAUAAGAUCAUUUUUUAUUUUUUGAUACAAUGUUUUGAUUCUUCAUCUUAUUUAAAAUUUUUUUGCGAUUAAUAUUUUUAUUCUUACUAGAUGAUAAAACAUGAAUAGUACUUUAUGCGUGACUAAUUUUUUUAAGUUUUUUAUAAAUUUUUCAAAUAAGAUGAAUGGUUAAAUAUUAGGAAAGAAAACAAAAAUGCAGAUAUU
rnacentral:pre_miRNA from 1 species